rnacentral:rRNA from 1 species
UGGGGAAUUUUUGGCAAUGGGGGAAACCCUGACCAAGCAACGCCGCGUGGGUGAUGAAGUAUCUUGGUACGUAAAACCCUUUCGGCAGGGACGAAGGAAGUGACGGUACCUGCGGAAGAAGCUCCGGCUAACUCCGUGCCAGCAGCCGCGGUAAUACGGGGGGAGCAAGCGUUGUUCGGAAUUACUGGGCGUAAAGGGCGCGCAGGCGGUUGGAUAAGAGAGUGGUGAAAACCCCGGGCUCAACCUGGGGCCGGCCACGCAGACUGUCCGGCUGGAGUGUGGGAGAGGGAAGUGGAAUUCCUGGUGUAGCGGUGAAAUGCGUAGAUAUCAGGAGGAACACCGGUGGCGAAGGCGGCUUCCUGGACCACAACUGACGCUGAGGCGCGAAAGCCAGGGGAGCAAACAGG